rnacentral:rRNA from 1 species
AACGAACGCUGGCGGCAGGCUUAACACAUGCAAGUCGAACGCCCCGCAAGGGGAGUGGCAGACGGGCGAGUAACGCGUGGGAAUCUACCCAGAACUUCGGAACAACUGAGGGAAACUUCAGCUAAUACCGGAUACGCCCUACGGGGGAAAGAUUUAUCGGUUUUGGAUGAGCCCGCGUUGGAUAGCUAGUUGGUGGGGUAAUGGCCUACCAAGGCGACGAUCCAUAGCUGGUCUGAGAGGAUGAUCAGCCACACUGGGACUGAGACACGGCCCAGACUCCUACGGGAGGCAGCAGUGGGGAAUAUUGGACAAUGGGCGAAAGCCUGAUCCAGCCAUACCGCGUGAGUGAUGAAGGCCUUAGGGUUGUAAAGCUCUUUCAGUAGGGAAGAUAAUGACGGUACCUACAGAAGAAGCCCCGGCUAACUUCGUGCCAGCCGCCGCCGUAAUAC